GCCGGUGGAACAGUUGCUGGCGCGUCCGAAGACUUUACCGUCCCUCCGGGCUAGGUCGGGCGCGUUACUGUGUCAGCGGCGCCCCUGCCCCCUGGUGCCACUUAGUGUCAAAAUUGUUUCUUGCCUAGGGUACAGAGAUGCUGACUGCUCGGCGCAUUGUUGUAUCCACACGGUGUCCCCCAAGCCUAGAAAUAGAAACAGUUGUUAAUAAAACCAGGAAACGGUGCCCGGAUAUCGGAGUAAAAUGGACGCUCCGUCAAUAUGCAGUAUGUUUAUUUUGUGGUUUCCACUGCCCCUUAGCAUAUCGUCUUCCUUAGAAGCAGAUGUUCACACUAAGUCACGGUUUCCACCUGGGGAACCACAUGGUCUUGUGCGGUGGCGGAGGCGGGGAGAGGGACGUAAAUGGUGAGUGUGAUGACUGACAGCCCGGAAGCCGCUGUGCAUUCACGGUGGAGACGGCAGAAAGGCUUCCGGGAGCAGUCGCAGCUUAUGGGAAAUCCGAAGGAACUGUCUAAGCACAUCCUUCUGCUGUUUAAGAUUUUGUUUCCAUGGAGCUAUUUUACAGCUCUGUGUAGGUAACUGCGUGACGUGCAAAUUCUGUCCUAUCUGAUACAGGUUCAAAUAACCCCUUACUGUCAGCAUUGUAGGAAUCUCUGGGCGGAUGGUGGCACCAUUUCACGAAAACGAAACUUAGAAGAGGUACAUCCGGGGCAAAUGGUACAGGAAUAGGAAGGGGACAGGCAAAGGAAGAGAAUUGAAGAGAAGAGAACCAGCAGGUGUCGACACUUACCAGAAGGCAGACACAGGGCCAAGCCUUUAUGUCAUGACACCUCUCCAGAGGCAGGUGGUAGUCCACCCAUCGUACAGAGAAAGAAACUGAAGCUUGCAGAGAUCAAUUAACUUAAGGUCACAUCACUGCAUGUACUGGAAGGUCAGAGUGCCCCCCGCCCCCCCUGCUCUUCCUGUCUCCCCUCCUGUUUGCUCGCCCAUCAUGGACCCAGAAGGCCACAAGCAGGAAGAGGGCAGCAGAGCCAACCUUGGCCCUGCAGGAGUCACAGAGGUGGCCUCUAAACUCAGGCCUUUUCUGGGAAAAACUUUAUGCUAGUCAGGACCCUACUCGGUGAGUAAGGGGCUUCUUAAAAUGAUGCCUCGGAGUCUACGGCCACGCCACCCUGAACGUGCCCAAUCUCGUCUGAUCACGGAAGCUAAGCGGGGUGGGGCCUGGUCAGUACUUGGAUGCGAGACCAC